rnacentral:rRNA from 1 species
GUCCACGCCGUAAACGAUUGAUACUAGCUGUUCGGGGCAACCUGAGUGGCUAAGCGAAAGUGAUAAGUAUCCCACCUGGGGGAGUACGUUCGCAAGAAUGAAACUCAAAAGGAAUUGGACGGGGGCCCGCACAAGCGGUGGAGCAUGUGGUUUAAUUCGAUGAUACGCGAGGAACCCUUACCAAGGCUUAAAUGUAGAUUGACCGGUUUGGAAACAGAUCUUUCGCAAGACAAUUUACAAGGUGCUGCAUGGUUGUCGU